rnacentral:rRNA from 1 species
GAUGAACGCUGGCGGCGUGCCUAAUACAUGCAAGUCGAGCGAACGGACGAGAAGCUUGCUUCUCUGAUGUUAGCGGCGGACGGGUGAGUAACACGUGGAUAACCUACCUAUAAGACUGGGAUAACUUCGGGAAACCGGAGCUAAUACCGGAUGAUAUUUUGAACCGCAUGGUUCCAAAGUGAAAGACGGUCUUGCUGUCACUUAUAGAUGGAUCCGCGCUGCAUUAGCUAGUUGGUAAGGUAACGGCUUACCAAGGCAACGAUGCAUAGCCGACCUGAGAGGGUGAUCGGCCACACUGGAACUGAGACACGGUCCAGACUCCUACGGGAGGCAGCAGUAGGGAAUCUUCCGCAAUGGGCGAAAGCCUGACGGAGCAACGCCGCGUGAGUGAUGAAGGUCUUCGGAUCGUAAAACUCUGUUAUUAGGGAAGAACAUAUGUGUAAGUAACUGGGCACAUCUUGACGGUACCUAAUCAGAAAGCCACGGCUAACUACGUG